GGAGAGGGCGGCUUCCGGGAUCUGGCUGGCGGGCGCUUUGUCUGGCCUUGGCCGCAGUAGGCUCUUUCUGUUAGUCUCCGCUGCUACUUCUUGGCUCUGGGAGGCCCAGGUGGCUCUGCAGCAGUCUCUGCCACCCUGUGACCUGCGGGUAUUGGGACAUCCCUAGCUGACUCCAGGACACCCGGGAAGCCGAGGAGUGGACUCCGUGGCUUUUGAGGAUGUGGCUGUGAACUUUACCCAGGAGGAAUGGGCUUUGCUAGAUUCUUCUCAGAAGAAUCUCUGCAUAGAAGUGAUGCAGGAAACCUGCAGGAACCUGGCUUCUGUAGAAAUCAUAUGGUACAGAGACUGUGUGAAAGCAAAGAAGGUAGUCAGUAUGAUGGACGAGUUGUCAGCCAAAUUCCGAAUCUUGAUCUGAAUGAGAACAUUUCUGCUGGAUGAAAACAAUGUGAAUGCAGUAUUUGUGGAAAAGUCUUUGUACGUCAUUCCCUCCUUAAUAGGCACAUCCUAGCUCAGGAUACAAACCAUAUGGAGAGAAGCAAUAUAAAUGUGAACAGUGUGGGAAAUUCUUCGUUUCUGUUCCAGGUGUUAGAAGACACAUGAUAAUGCACAAUGGAAAUCCGGCUUAUAAAUGUACGAUAUGUGGGAAAGCUUUUUAUUUUCUCAAUUCAUUUGAAAGACAUCAGAGAACUCACACAGGACAAAAACCCUAUAAAUGUAAACAAUGUGGUAAAGCGUUCACUGUUUCCGGUUCUUGUCUAAUACAUGAAUGAACUCACACUGGAGAGAAACCCUACGAAUGUAAGGAAUGUGGGAAAACAUUCAGAUUUUCUUGUUCUUUUAAGACGCAUGAAAGGACUCACACUGGAGAAAGACCCUAUAAAUGUACCAAAUGUGAUAAAGCCUUCAGCUGUUCCACUUCCCUUCAUGACCAUAGAAGCAUUCAUACUGGAGAGAGACCCUAUGAAUGUAAACAAUGUGGCAAAGCCUUUAGUCUUUUGAGUUCCCUUUGUAACCAUAGAAGUACUCAUACUGGAGAGAAAGCCUAUGAACGUAAACAAUGUGACCAAGCCUUCAGUCGCCUCAGUUCCCUUCACCUCCACUAAAGAAUUCAUACUGGAGAAAAACCCUAUGAAUGUAAGAGAUGCUGUAAAGCCUACACUCGUUCCAGUCACCUUACUCACCAUGAAAGAAGUCAUGAGUCACUGGGUGUAGUGACUCAGCCUAUAAUCCCAGCACUUUGGGAGGCCAAGUUGUGUGUAUUGCUUGAGCCCAGGAGUUCAUAACCAGCCUGGAUUAAAACAAUGUGAAAACCUGGGCAACAUGGUGAAACCCUGUC